UACGUAGGGUGCAAGCGUUAAUCGGAAUUACUGGGCGUAAAGCGUGCGAAGGCGGUUUUGUAAGUCUGACGUGAAAUCCCCGGGCUCAACCUGGGAAUUGCGUUGGAGACUGCAAGGCUAGAAUCUGGCAGAGGGGGGUAGAAUUCCACGUGUAGCAGUGCAAUGCGUAGAGAUGUGGAGGAACACCGAUGGCGAAGGCAGCCCCCUGGGUCAAGAUUGACGCUCAUGCACGAAAGCGUGGGGAGCAAACAGG
rnacentral:rRNA from 1 species